rnacentral:rRNA from 1 species
UGGGGAAUAUUGGACAAUGGGCGAAAGCCUGAUCCAGCCAUGCCGCGUGUGUGAAGAAGGUCUUCGGAUUGUAAAGCACUUUAAGUUGGGAGGAAGGGCAGUAAGCGAAUAUCUUGCUGUUUUGACGUUACCGACAGAAUAAGCACCGGCUAACUCUGUGCCAGCAGCCGCGGUAAUACAGAGGGUGCAAGCGUUAAUCGGAAUUACUGGGCGUAAAGCGCGCGUAGGUGGUUCGUUAAGUUGAAUGUGAAAGCCCCGGGCUCAACCUGGGAACUGCAUCCAAAACUGGCGAGCUAGAGUUGGGCAGAAGGUGGUGGAAUUUCCUGUGUGGCGGUGAAAAGCGUAGAUAUAGGAAGGAACACCAGUUGCGAAGGCGACCACCUGGGCUCAUACUGACACUGAGGUGCGAAAGCGUGGGGAGCAAACAGG